GCUUUUCUUUCCCCACUACCGUUAUAAGGACCUCAUCACUUCACAUUUGGAUGAAAGUUUUAGCAUUUCAACUCUUUUUCUAGCCUCUAAGAUUUUUUUUUUUCCUUUUAUCUGCUGCGCAUGUUCUCAACAAACCAUUCUUGCUAAUGUAUUCAGUUGUUUCAGUCAGGUCCGACUCUUUGCUAUCCUAUCGAUGUUAGCCCACCAGGCUCCUCUGUCCAUGGGAUUUUCAAGGCAACAGUACUGGAGUGGGUUGCCAUGCCUUCCUCCAGGGGAUCUUCCUGACCCAGGGAUUGAACCUGUGUCUCCUGUCUCCUGCAUUGGCAGAUGGGUUCUUCACCACUAGCUCCAUCUCCACCCUUCCUAAUAAACUCUUUAUUUCCCCUUUGAAAAUAUCUGCAAUCCUUUUCUUUUGCUUAAAGGUUCUGUAUCAGAUAUCUCUCCCUGUUACUCUAGGCCUUUAAAAUUUUGACUUUCCCUUUCCAGCCUAAUAUCCUGCUGGUAGGGGAACCACUGACCAAAACUGCCCACCCUGGCCAGGUCUGAUAGGAAACACUUGCAUGAGCUAUCUUACAACUGGAGGUCUUGGCAAGGAACACAGAACUAACAAGCUGCCACCAACCAGAAGAAUUCGGGAAGGUCAAAAGGAGAGAGGAGGCACCAUUCCACAUGUCCUGCCGACUUCUCAGAAUCCUUGUUGCUGGACUCCCUCUUGGUUGAGAAAUAAACUAGGCAUCGCACUGUUGCCAUAUAACCUGAGGCUGCGAGCCACGCAGCAGAGCAGUUCUCCUGGGUUCCCUUACCCUGCAGCUCUCCACUUGAGCGCCUCUUCCCAAUAGUCUCUUGCUUUGUCAGCACGUAUGUCUUCUUAGACAGUUCAUUUCUGAGUGUUAAAGAAGAGCCCACUCUCAGGCCCUAGAAGGGAUCUGCCUUCCUGCAACAUUGCUCCUAAGAAGUCUAUUCAACAGGCCAGACUUUUCGUUGCUUCCUUUCCUUUCCUACACCAGGCCUCACAUUCCUAUCUUAAUGCUUUCUCAUUAUGUUCCUGUCUGAAAUGUUUCUUUCCCUCUACCUGCCAAAUCCAACUCCCAUUUGAAAUACUAAUGUUUCUAUCAAAUCUCUUCUAAUAAUCAGGCAACCCUCUUUCUCAGCUAUUUGAUUGGCAUUUAUUAUUAGCUCCACUCAUUACAAUAUUUUGUUGUAUUUAGUUUGAUCCUGGCGUGUGCUCUCUUGGGUACUCUCAAUUGUUCCUUUAAUAUAUCUUGUCUCACAAAAUUAUACAUUUAUGAGGAUAAGAAAUAAACCCUGGGUACCACCCUGAGCUUAGUCAAUUACUUGAACUCUCUGGAAUUCAUUUUCUUCUUCUAUAAAAUGGAAAUAAUGAUAGCUCUUUACCUAUUUCAGUUUGACACUAGAGGCUAAAAUGAAAUAAUGUGGAGAAGUGCUUCAAAGCUUUCAAACUCAUUUGUAACCACUAUUAUGAUGAUACAUAACCUCCCUCCUUUUUUUUUUUUCCUGAGAUACCACCCAAUUAUAGAAUCAUGGAAUCUCUUUCUGACAAUAGAGUUAAUCACCAAAGAGGGUCACAGCCACCGUGAGGAAAGGAUACCAUCUCUCUGAAGGCAUAUCAGAUCUUCCAGAGUGAGAUAGAAUUUGAAGAUUGUAGAAGACCUCCGGAAGAAUCCUUUGAUAAAAAUCAAUGAUCUACACUACUAAAAAUGAUUCUACAAAGUACUGAUGUAAGGUAAAAAUACAGUUGGGAUGGUGAUAGUGUUAGGUAGAUGAGAAGAAAACUAUCCAGACAGAUUGCUAUUGAGAUAUUGAGCAGGCAUUUCCAAGAAAGCGUAAAACUUUACCUUUCAUCCUUUAUUAUCUGGCUGUUUGUAGAUAAGGCCCCUUUUGACACUUGCAGAGCAGGUCCUAACAUGCAGGUCCUAACCUUUGAAAGCUUUCCUAAGUGUACAUGCUCCUUUAUGGGACUUAACUGAAUUGUUUUUGGCUAACUUAUUUUAAGUCAGAAUGUACAUGCUGACCUAGCAAGUCCUUUACCUUUUGGCAUAAUCAAAGAAUUUAAAUUUCCUUAACACUGGCUCUAUUCCAAACACCUAAACUUUACUGAGGUGAGUGCUAGGCAGCUUGUUGUUGUUGUUGUUUUUAAUAAUUUCUUUCCUAGUCAAAGCUUCUUCUCACUGGACAGGGAAGCUCCCAGAAUGAGCUGGAAACCAGGACAUGUUGAAUGGAAGAGAAACAGAGUGUGCAAUCACUGGGCUCAUUCUCUGAUGUACGUGAAGACACCUCCGUUCAAUCAGCUGAAGCGCCCAUGAGUUAAUGAAGAAUUUGAGUGUUCUGAAGAGGUGAAGGCAAGACAAGGCUGGAGCAGGGGCCUGGUUUUACUUAUUCAUCACUCAACAAAUAUUUGCUGUCUGUCUAACGACUGGGAACACCAAUAGGAGUCAGACAGUCAUGAUGUAUUGAGGAAGCCAGACAAAAAUCAACAAUACGCUAGGUGCUAUGAAAGAGCCCAGGUUUGAGUAUUAAGGGGCCUGGACUGGACUGGGAGUACUGCACGCUCCAGGUCCCAGAGACUGAGAAGAGAGGCAGGCACAUUUGAGGAGCCUCCCCACCCACCACCAUCUGGUGGUUAAAACGCAAAUAAAACAUCUUUAAUUUAAAACUUAGCAUUUGAAGACGUUGCAGACUUGACGUCCUUGAGUUUGAAAUGUAAAGAAUAUGUGCUCAGAGAUGGAGUUUUUCCUGCUGAUUCAGAGGAAGCCAGCUCUGAGCCCCGCGACAGCUUUUGAUCUAGGGAAUAAUCACUGUCUGUUUUCUCUGUAAUCACAGAGAAUUUCAGCAAAGCCUUUCCUAAAACAACCAUAACCAAUUUUUUUUUUCCCCCCAAAAUACUCCCUGCAUUUCAUAUUCUCUGUUUAGGUAAUCUGCAUAGAGUUUUUAUUAAAGAAAAAAACCUUGUAAAAUAGCGUUAUUUUAUCUAUUUUACAGAAAAG
ensembl:lncRNA